rnacentral:rRNA from 1 species
UAGCAUAUCAAUAAGCGGAGGAAAAGAAACCAACAGGGAUUGCCCUAGUAACGGCGAGUGAAGCGGCAACAGCUCAAAUUUGAAAUCUGGCUUCGGCCCGAGUUGUAAUUUGCAGAGGAUGUUUAUGGUGCGGUACCUUCCGAGUUCCCUGGAACGGGACGCCACAGAGGGUGAGAGCCCCGUCUGGUUGGAUACCAAACCUGUGUUAAACUCCUUCAACGAGUCGAGUAGUUUGGGAAUGCUGCUCUAAAUGGGAGGUAAAUCUCUUCUAAAGCUAAAUACCGGCCAGAGACCGAUAGCGCACAAGUAGAGUGAUCGAAAGAUGAAAAGCACCUUGAAAAGGGGGUUAAACAGUACGUGAAAUUGUUAAAAGGGAAGCGUUUAUGACCAGACUUGUGUCGUGUGGCUCAUCCGAGGUUCUCCCCGGUGCACUCCACACGGCUCAGGCCAACAUCGGUUCUCGUUGGGGGAUAAGAACAGUAGGAACGUGGCCCUUUUCGAAGGGUGUUAUAGCCUGCUGUACGAUACCCUGAUGGGGACCGAGGACCGCGCUUCGGCUAGGAUGUUGGCGUAAUGGUCAUUAGCGACCCGUCUUGAAACACGGACCAAGGAGUCGUCCAUUAGAGCGAGCGUUUGGGUGUAAAACCCGCACGCGUAAUGAAAGUGAAAUUAGGUGAGAGCUUCGGCGCAUCAUCGACCGAUCCUGAAGUUUACGGAUGGAUUUGAGUAAGAGUUUUAACGGACGGACCCGAAAGACAGUGAACUAUGCUUGAAUAGGGUGAAGCCAGAGGAAACUCUGGGGGAGGCUCGCAGCGGUUCUGACGUGCAAAUCGAUCGUCAAAUUUGAGCAUGGGGGCAAAAAACUAAUCGAACUGUCUAGU